AGCUUGACACUGAACACUGGUCCUUGAUGUGUAGGAUAGGUGGGAGGCUUUGAAGCGUGGACGCCAGUCUGCGUGGAGCCAUCCUUGAAAUACCACCCUUUAAUGGCUGGUGUUCUAACGUGGGCCCCUAAUCGGGGUUGCGGACAGUGUCUGGUGGGUAGUUUGACUGGGGCGGUCUCCUCCUAAAGAGUAACGGAGGA
rnacentral:rRNA from 1 species